GACGAACGCUGGCGGCGUGCCUAAUACAUGCAAGUCGAACGGAGGGGGGACGGGUGAGUAAAACGUGGGUAACCUCCCAUCAGAGGGGAUAACACUUGGAAACAGGUGCUAAACUGCUACUGAUGGAUGGACACGCAGGGCAUUAGCUAGUUGGUGAGGUAACGGCUCACCAAGGCCACGAUGCAUAGCCGACCUGAGAGGAUGAUCAGCCACACUGGGACUGAGACACGGCCCAGACUCCGACGGGAGGCAGCAGUAGGGAAUCUUGGGCAAUGGACGAAAGUCUGACCGAGCAACGCCGCGUGAGUGAAGAAGGUUUUCGGAUCGUAAAGCUCUGUUGUUAGAGAAGCGGUAUCUAACCAGAAAGCCACGGCUAACUACGUGCCAGCAGCCGCGGUAAUAC
rnacentral:rRNA from 1 species